GCGGGUAUAGCUUAGUGGUAGAGCACAUGCUCGAUGUGCAUGAAGUCCUGGGUUCAAUCCCCAGUUCCUCUG
rnacentral:tRNA from 1 species